rnacentral:rRNA from 1 species
CAGCAGCCGCGGGAAUACGUAGGUGGCAAGCGUUGUCCGGAAUUAUUGGGCGUAAAGCGCGCGCAGGCGGAUCAGUUAGUCUGUCUUAAAAGUUCGGGGCUUAACCCCGUGAUGGGAUGGAAACUGCUGAUCUAGAGUAUCGGAGAGGAAAGUGGAAUUCCUAGUGUAGCGGUGAAAUGCGUAGAUAUUAGGAAGAACACCAGUGGCGAAGGCGACUUUCUGGACGAAAACUGACGCUGAGGCGCGAAAGCCAGGGGAGCGAACGGGAUUAGAUACCCCUGUAGUCCCUGUCUCUUAUACA